CUCCGCAAUCAGCCCAAUGUUUCCCUCGUUUUUUAAUCGUUUCCCUCUCUUUUUCCCCCAAACCCCUUUCUCAUUUUCACUUUUUUCAUUUUCAGAAACCCACUCUCAGUUAAUCACUUAAUCAAAAAUAGCCGAACAAAACUUAAUCUCUUCCAUUUCUUCUUCAUUUCCUACGAUUUCAAGCUCUCUGCUUUUCUUCAGCGCCUCAUCUUUCUUCAGCGCCUCCUCUGUUGCAAAAUGAAAGAGAUAUGAAAGAAAACUUCAGAUUUAUCAAUCAAUUGGAUGUUCUGGGCAUUUCAGUUCAGGAUAAGUUUGUGAAUGGUCAUUUAAUUGUUCGUUCGUGGUCUGGUUACAAUACCUUCCAAUGGAUAAAUCUUGGAUUGGAAUGCCUAGAAAUACAACAAAGUAUGCCGAAGCCCAAGCGUUACGAGAACUUCCAGAACACCUUUCAGUCAGCACCUACAUCACAAGGUGUAGCACAACCUUUAUCAACAACUCAAUCAGCACCUUCGCAUUUUGAUGAUCCACCACAGCUGACUUCAUUUAUUCAACCGACAACACGACCAACACCUUCAGGUCAUGUUGCAGCAAAUCCGAUUCAGUCAGAUCAGACCACAACACAGCAGGUUCCAUCAGCCCGGGCCGCGUCACAACAACCACCAUCUAGAAAGCGUAGUAGACGUGUGUCUUCACAACAUUGGACUGUAGAUGCAAUAGAAUCGCAAGGAGCUAGCAAGAUACUUAAAGUGAAGAAAAGGGACGUGUUAAAUUUAUCUAAUGAAGAACGUAUUGUGGUUGAUUUUGGCGACACGGAUUCUCCCAUUGGUGAAGGACAAUGCGUUCUUAUAGGCUUUUGCGGAAUUUUAGCAACCGACUGCUCCAUUUUUCCAAUUCACUUUGAGAAAUGGCCGGAUAUACCUGUGACAACCUUCAACCGUUGUUAUGAUCGAUUUAUAAAGCCUCGAUUUUGUUUUAGGACAACUGAGUCAAAUGCAAGACGAUAUGUUUAUAAUUCUAUGUGUAAGAAGUGGGGCGCAAAAAGGCUAAAGCUGUUUGAUAAGGUCUAUGAUCCACUUAAGAACAGAGCUGAGAUAAUGGAUAGUGUUCCACUAGGGAUUUCACCGGAUCAAUGGAUUUCUUAUGUUGAUUACCGCUUUAAAGAAAAAACACAGAUGGCUGAGACUGGACAAAAGCCUGGAUGAGGACAGCUUUAUCUCGCUACACAUAGGAACGAAGAUGGAUCAUAUGUUAAUGAGGCGGCAAAAGAGAUAUGUGUAAGACUCUCAUUCCUCCAACAUUUUCUUGUAUGAGUACUCCUUGCUUUUGGUGUGUAAUGUAUGACGGUCUUCGCAUAAAAGUUAGGAUUUUUCCAUCUUUUCUUUGGGCUCUAUUUGCACUGCUGGGGAUCAUGUCUAUGAUUGACAUCAACUUUUCUAUGGCAAGAAGUGUUAAACUCGUAAUCCUCGUUGGUGAUGUUUUCUCCUGUAGUAUCAGCUAAGACACUAAGAGAUACAGAUAUUUAUUAUAGUUGACACGAGCUUAAAAGUGAUUAUCUAUUACAGAUAAACUGUUUCGAAGUGGCUGAACAAAGCUAAAGACACUACAAUUACUAAUAGAGGGGGAUUUUAGGCCUGUGCUCCAUGGUACAAACUGAAAUAAAAUCUAACUAAUAUAGUGAUUUACUGAUUUGUCAUUCCCUGGGUAAAGAAUGAAAACUAAAAGACAUCUGAAGCUUUAGUUUUUUCUUAUUUCUCUUUGUAAUUCUCACACAAGCAGGAAAACUGCCAUCCUUUUUAUACAUCUCGUAGUAGGCAAAUCUGUAUCACGUUCGUGUUGUUUAAUUCAUUUGCUUGUACAAUAACAGUUGUGAGUACACGACUAUUUGUUAGCUAGCACGUAGAUAUAGGGUAAAAAAGUUCAGCUGAGAUAUGUUACUUCUUUUUUUCUGUUUCAAUUCAAACAAUUUGGACAAUUUUUAUUGAUUAAAAUUGGUUCUUAUGUGUCACGAAAAUGCUACUACUACAAUUUUUCUGUGUUGGGCACAGAGUACUAGCAUUUCUUGCUUGAGCCUCUUUGCUAUGCAUUUCCAUGGGAAAUUGUGAUGAGAGUAAUAUUAUGUCGAUGGUUCUAUCAGUGAAAUGGGGUAUAAAUAGGAAAAUUUUGGUAGAUGAGCAAGAACUAAAGUACGUACGUACUUUCUUUGAAGUAGCAUAGGUAGGAGAAAAGUCGGCUGACUUAGGCUAACCAUUGUGGACUAUUUCUUUGAGAUUUGAAGAUUCAGAAGAUUCCUUACUGUUGUUACUGUUAUUGGAGCUCCUUUUGUUGCUGUAUUUCUCUGUUGUUACCUUGGAAUCUCCCUCCUCUAUGCAUUCUUUCAUUUUCUUGUCUUUGGUUUCUUCUUCUGCAACCCUCUGAAAGAUGUCCACCAUGAUGUCUCUUUUCAUCUAAAAGAUCAAGUUUUUAUUUCAUAGCUUGCUUUUCUAUGUGUAGCUAACUUGUCAAUCACUGAUUGAAGUAAGGACACUUGCUUUUGGUGUGUAAUGUAUUUAGGAAAAAAUUGAACUAGCAUUGACCCAAAGCACCAGGGAUGAGUCUGAAAUUUCUCCAAAUGAUGUUGUUUGUAAGGUGUUGGGAAAAGAGCACUCUGGAAGGGUAAGGUGCUUAGGAUUAGGAGUUGUUCCUAGUAGAGCUUUUAGACAAACAAGACCUCGCUAUAGUGAUUUGAAUGCUUCAAGUUAUAAUAAUGGUUCAUGUUCCUCCCAAUGCCAAGAGAAGUACAAUCAAAUGUUGAAUGCUCACAAUCAAAGCCAGGAGAACUACAGAGAAAUGAUGAAUGUUAACACUCAAAUGAUGAAUGCUUUUAAGGCGUAUAUGAUAAUGAAAGAAGGGAAGAUACCUGAAGAAUUUGCAGGGAUAUUUGUUUCUCCUCAUUCAACGCCAAGUGAUGCGGCUAGCGGAUCCAUUUUACCCACGAAUAUAAGAUCAUCCGGUGAAAGUAAUCCUAACGACAACCAUUGAAGUUGCUUGCAAAUGUAUUAGAUAAUUAAGUAUCGUACUCGAUUGAAUGAUCAUAGUAGAUCUUUUGUCCAUAAUGGUUGGAGUGAAUGUUAUGUUUAAUGUUAGUUUUAAGACUUAUAAUAUUGAUGUUUUGUGUUUAAUGGUUGGAGUUGUUAUGUUUAAAGCAAAUUUUUGAGACUAAUGUAUUGUGGUUUAUUAAUAUAUUGAUGUUACUUGAUUCCA